rnacentral:rRNA from 1 species
GGAAUUUUGCGCAAUGGAGGAAACUCUGACGCAGUGACGCCGCGUGCAGGAAGAAGGUUUUCGGAUUGUAAACUGCUUUAGACAGGGAAGAAAAAGGACAGUACCUGUAGAAUAAGCUCCGGCUAACUACGUGCCAGCAGCCGCGGUAAUACGUAGGGAGCAAGCGUUAUCCGGAUUUAUUGGGUGUAAAGGGUGCGUAGACGGGAAAAUAAGUUAGCUGUGAAAUCCCUCGGCUUAACUGAGGAACUGCAACUAAAACUGUUUUUCUUGAGUACUGGAGAGGAAAGUGGAAUUCCUAGUGUAGCGGUGAAAUGCGUAGAUAUUAGGAGGAACACCAGUGGCGAAGGCGACUUUCUGGACAGAAACUGACGUUGAGGCACGAAAGUGUGGGGAGCAAACA